GCGGCGUAGGCGCCUGUAGUAAGCUCCGUUUCCGGCUUAGGAUCAGGGUCUGGAGAAGGGGGUGUCUGGAGGCGCCAUGUCGGGCCGGGAAGGUGGCAAAAAGAAGCCCCUGAAACAGCCCAAGAAGCAGGCCAAGGAAAUGGACGAGGAAGAUAAGGCUUUCAAGCAGAAACAAAAAGAGGAGCAGAAGAAACUCGAGGAGCUAAAAGCCAAGGCCGCGGGGAAGGGACCCCUGGCCACAGGUGGAAUUAAGAAAUCUGGCAAAAAGUAAGCUGUUCCUCAUAUCUGAGAUGAUGGUGACCCUCUUCCAUUCCUAUUUAAACAUCUGGAUUCCCUGCCAUAACAUCUUUGCCAUCUACAGCUAGAAUGAAAUGUUAUCCUGGAGCCUGUUAAACAUCUGGAUCCCCUACUAUAACAUCAUUGCCACCUAUAGUUAAAAUGAAGUGUUAUCCUGGAGCCUGUUGUACAUUGUAAUAAACUUUUGUAAAAAAAAAAAUAAUAAUAAUAAAAUAAAUAAUACAAUG